UUCAUGUCUUUUGUAUUAAAGAAUUAAAUGGAUGAAAUAUGAAGUUUUAUUAAAAGAAAAAGGGGUGAAAAGAACAAAGUUUUGUCCAUCUUUGUUCAUCAUAGCUGAAAGUUAGAGAAGAGAAAGGAGAGGAGAAAGCUCUUGAGUAUUUGGUCAUUAGGAGGAGGAAAAUUGAAGGAAAUCCCCAACCAUAGUGGGCUUGGAGCUGUGAGGGAAUUCGGAGUGGCCACCCAUUCUGAAAGUUUGAUUUUCUUCUGGUGAACUGGACAUCCUUUUAUUUACGUUUGAAUUUUUUGGGCUUUUAAAUGUAAUAAGGCCACUUAAUUAUUUUUGAUGGUUUUAAUAUGUAUUACUAAGAUAGGUAAUACUUAUUUUAACUGUUGAAAUUGGAUAGCUUUAGGGCGCGUUUUCAAAAACAACAAUUGAUUUCAAAAUAACACGACAACAA